GUUUGUCUAAUUGCUGUGGCUAGGACUUCCAAAACUAUGUUGAAGAGCAGUGGUGAGAGUGGGCAUCCCUGUCUUGUUCCAGAUUUGAGUGAGAAGGCUUUCAGUUUUUCCCCAUUGAGUAUUAUAUUUGCUGUGGGUUUAUCCUAAAUGGCUUUGAUUAUAUUCAGGAAUGUUCCCUCUAUACCCACUUUGGCGAUGGUCUUGAUCAUGAAUGGAUGUACAACUCCUUUUUAAAUAGGAGUUCCCAUUGUGGCUCAGUGGUUAAUGAAUCUGACUAGGAACCAUGAGGUUGCAGAUUCAGUCCCUGGUCUUGCUCAAUGGGUUGAGGAUCUGGCCUUGCUGUGAGCUGUGGUGUAGGUUGCAGAUGCAGCUUGGAUCCUGCGUUGCUGGGGCUGUGGUGUAGGCCGACAGCUACAGCUCCGAUUAGAGCCCUAGCUUGGGAACCUCCAUGUGUCGUGAGUGCAGCCCUAGAAAAGACAAAAAAAACAAAAAGAAAGGAGGAUGAAUAAAUAACACAAGUGAAGGCAUAGCAAUAGAGCCUUGGAAAUGCUAAAAUCACAUAUGGUAAGAAAUUAUCUCUUUUUCAAAAAUGUGCCUAUUCAUUUUUUAUUGGAAUAUGUUUGACUAUAACAUUGUAUAAAUUUAAGAUGUACCCUUAUUAAUUUGGUGCAUUUAUGUAUAAUAAUAUGGUUACUAUAAAGUGAAAAUUCUGACAUGAAAAAUCAAAUGAUUAGAAAUGGAACUAAAGAAGCUGUUAUGUCACAGGAAGUGUUAUAGCUUUAAAACAAUAGUUGACAAUAAUUUUCUGGAGUACCAGAGUGAUUGCCUAAGUCACACCAAAUUGAGCAAUGAACAAUUAAACUGUAAAACUUCAGGGAAACAGCAAGUAGAUUGUUUUCUCUAGAACAUCUGUCACAGAGGAUGAAAGGUUCUGUGGUGAAAUGAAAUUUCCAAGGUGCAUGAGGCCAUUAAAUUAGAACAGAGAGCUAGGAAGUGAGAGGCAUCCUGGCCUGAAGGUACUCUCUUCCAAUCAGAAGUCGGGGCAGGGUUUUGGGGGGAGGGGUUGUGGAGGCAGAGAGAAAGAAAAGGGAGGGAAAGAAAAGAAUUCUGACUAUAUCAUUUGUAGAAGCUAUUCUUGGGUUAUAUAUCUACAAUCAUUUAUACAUCUGGGCAGUGUCUUGAAUGUGUAAUUCCAGCAUGUGUCAGAAUUAGGGAAAAAUACAGAUAUAUUUGCAGAUAUACAUCUUAUGAAGACAUUGUGCAAGUAGUUGUAUAUGAAAACUCAGAAAGUCUGCAUUUGUUUAUUAGUAGCUGCAAAGAGUACCAGUGAAGCAUGGCACAGGAGCCAUAGCAAGGCAGAAGGACCAAGAUGAAGAUGAAAGAUCUGGACCUUGACUCAAAAACAUUUCCUUCUAUUGUUCCUGUCUAGGGGUUUUAUAACUGUCAUUAUAGCGAUGUAUUACUUUUAUUAUUAAUUAUUCAAACUUAUAUAUGUGAUUAGGUUUAAGGUAACAUGGUGAGUAGACUCUAUUGUAUUCCCUUUUUGUCUUUAUAAAGUUUGUCAUAAAAUAAGCCCUUCAGGAAUUAUUGAGGGGAAGUAGCAGAAUUGGUCUUGACAGAUGUUUAUCACCAACCCAUUGCUCAGUGUGAGUGCCAGUUUCAGAAUAAGCUGGACUUUAUUUGACAGAGUUGUACCUCCAUGUAAAGACACAUUUUGAACAAAAAGAUAAACCCUAAAAUUUCUUUUCUUUGUUCUGAGUUAUUGGCAGCCAUUUUGUGGGAAAUACAGUUUUUUUAGUAUUUAAAAGUAUUAGAUACUCAAGCACUAAAUGAAAUUAGUUUUGUUUAAAAGGUAAACAGCAAUGAUUCAAAUUACUGGAGCCUAGGACCAAGUAAGAAUGAUUUGUGUUACAGCUACAAAAGAGCUCAUUGUUUAAAAGGUACAUGGAGUUGUUGGAUGUAACUAUAGAAUGCAGUGGUAACAGUAACUAAAGCAAGAGCUUAAUUCACAUCAUGAAGAUCAUAUCCUCCAAAUGAAUAGACUUUGAAAAAUGAAUGCAGGAGAAAACACAUAAAUAAUAGCUAAGUCCUACUUUUGUCUCAUUACCCAUUAAGUAUAGCUGUGGGAGGGAAAACAUUUUUGUGACCAUCCUGUACCUUGUGUUACUGGUGCCUUUGGGUCCACUGAUGGAGACAGAUGACUAGCUGGUAUAAUAACGUCACGGUCCUGCACUGAUCUGAGCAGUGAGGUAAUUCACAGGAUAUUAUAUUGCUGCACAGUUUGUGAAUUAUACACAUUGUAAAACCUCUAGAAGGCUAGGCAUUCUUCUUCCUAGGGAAAAUAUCUGAUUGUCAAACAUAAUCUCCAAGGUAGCUAGUAUAUAAUUAUUCCUUUGGUUUAGGAUAUCCUUUAGGACAGAGAUUGUAUUUUUAUUCAUCAUUGUAGCCCCAUGUUUUGUUUAGUGCCUGGCAUGUUGUGGAAACUCAGUACUUUUGUGUGGAGUAAAGGAAAUAACAUAGUGAAAAUUCUCUGGACUUAGGUGGGUUUGGGAUGGAAAUGCUGUAAAAUAAAAUUAGUUUUUGAUGAUGGUACAAUUAUAAUAAAUUCAUUGAGUUUUUUUGAAAAAAGAAAAUAUAGAUGAAGAAACUAAAUUUCAGAGAAGUCAAGUCAGUUGACUUAGUUCUAACAAGGGUAACUGGGAAAUGGCAGAGAUAGAAUUCAAAUGCAACCAUCCAUUAAUUUUUUUUUUCAAUACUCUGCUGACUUGUGAGUUAGGGAUAAGAUGAUUAAAAGGCAUAAACAAAGUUUAUGUAUGCCUUUUCCCUCACAGAGGUGAUUUGUUCUUGGAGGUGCCUUAAAGGUCACUAUAGAUGGUGAGACUAAGGGCGGUACUGAGCAGUGAAAGCAAUUAAACUGUACUGUCAGCAGUCCUGCAAACAAGCUUAGUUCCAGGAAUACACUAUUGAAGGGAAAAGUAAAAACAUGGUGAUUUGUUACUGCUGCUACUUCUCUUACUGUUGUUAGGUGAGGUUAGGGCAGUAUAGUUGUAUUUACACAAUUGUGAUAUUUUUAUUUCCUUUAUUAUUUUUAAAUUGUUGAAUCAUCUACUUAUUCUUUCAAGUUUUACCCUCAUUAUUUCAUUUUUGUAAUUUAAAUCAGAACCAGAUUUAGAAAAUUUUUGAAUUCAAGUGAAACUUGAGUAGACAACCCUGGUUAAAUAGAUUCUUUGUGUGUGUGUCUUAGAAAAAUGUGACAAAUAAGAGAUAAAUAAGAGCCUUUCCUGAGAGUUUAAUUUGAGAAAGUAAUUACCUUGUUUUGUCUUGAGGUCAGAGUAGAGUCAGGCCAAUAUGCUGUUAUCUUUAAUAUCUUAUAUCAAACGGGAACUGGUGUCCAUAACAAUGACCCUGAGCCAAGGUGUUGUACUCAGACAUAAGAGAAAUAUGGAUUUAUGUUUUCCAUGCUUCCUGUUUAGUAAGGCAAAAAGCUGCAUUAAGAUCAGGAAGAGAGAUGUUCAGUCACAAUGAGUGAAAGAUAAUGAGUUGUUGCUUAGCUAGAAAAACCGCUUGAUCAAAGGAACAUUUUUCACAAGCAUUCUUAUUUAAUUUUACUCUGUGUGCACAUAAGAAGUGUAUGCCUAUGUUUUCACAAUCAAGGAUGUUUCAAGUCUAAUUAUGAUAUGCUGAAUUUUUCUGUAAAUCUAAAUAACCAUAAAAUUAAAGAGUUUCCGUUCAUUCUUCUCAGGUCUUGGGGAUACCAACUGUGGGGGAUGACAGAGGAGGUAGAGAUAAAAGAGAAGCAAUAUGCCUACCCUCUUCACUUGUUAUCACAAGGAAAGGAGAAAUGACCAUCUGCUGUAUGCUCAGCACUGUUAGGCUUUUUAUAUUUAUGAAGGUUUUGUAUUUUAUGCAUAUGUUAGCUCAUUCAGUCCUCACAAAAACCUGAUUAGGUAAGUGUUAUUUACAUUUUACCAAGUUCCAGCCCUCCUGAAGCUUAUAUUCUAGUGAGGGUUGACAGAGAUACACAAAAAAGCAUGUAAAUAUUAUAAUAAAAUGUCUAGUGACAGUAAGAACUAUGAGGAAAAAAUAAAACAAGGCCUGCAGGUAGAGGAUGAGGGGAAGGCAUUAUUUUAGCCAGAGGGAAAGCUUCUCUAAUACUCUUAGGCAGAUGUCAAGAUGAAUUGAGGAAACAAGCCGUGGAGAUAGACCCUGGAAAAGAACGUUCCAGGCAGAGAGAACAGCACAGAGGAAUGCCUGAUAUGUUAGACUAAAGACACUGGAGCAGAACGAGCCAGGAGAAGGGAAAGAGAUAAAGAUUUGAACCCAGGUCUGUCUGACUCCAAACCUAUAUCCACAAUGUUCCUUUCACUCCAUGAAUUGGGAAGGUGUGUUAACAACUAAAAAGUGACACAGGAAUUUUUUUUCCCAAGAAACAAAAAUACUAAAAACAUUUUUUUGGUAAUCUUUAAUGACUUGGAAUAAUGUCUACAAUAUAGUC
rnacentral:lncRNA from 1 species